rnacentral:pre_miRNA from 1 species
UCAACAUGUUCAAGAGGAGGGAGAGGAGGAACGGGAGAGAAGGGCUGGUACUCCCCCGUUCCUCCUUUCCCUCCUCUUGAACAGGUCGGAA